rnacentral:lncRNA from 1 species
UCUCAAACUGGGGAACCUCAGCUACUCCUUGUUGCAGAGAGCAGAGAGAAAAGAGGGACAUAGGGAGAAGAGGGCUUAAGUCUCUUUGUGCCUUCUUCAGAGGGGGCACAUCUUCUUAGCGGACUACUGGAUCCUGGCGGAGGCCCCAGUCCAUUGCCUAAACGGCCGCCAACAGUACGUAACAGCUCCUCUCUGCCUGUUAUGGCUCAACCCACAGGGGGUGCUGCUGCCGUUGGCAAUCCAGCUCAGCCAGAUACCAGGGCCAGAGAGCCCCAUCUUUCUACCCACUGACUGCGAGUUGGAUUGGCUGCUGGCCAAGACGUGGGUGCGCAACUCUGAGUUUUUGGUGCAUGAGAACAACACGCAUUUUCUGUGCACGCAUUUGCUCUGCGAGGCCUUCUCCAUGGCUACACUGCGUCAGCUG